AUAUCAUUGAAAUCUUGAUACUACAAGGUAAUGCAUGAUUAAUUCAAAUCAAUGUGAAUGGAUUUACAUUACAUUUGACAGAGUAAUCUGGGUGGUAACAGGCUAAUAUAGUUGCUUCCAUUUAUACAGCCAGUCCUGGUCGGCGCACCCGUGCUGCCUCCCCCCCCCACAGCCGUGACGAUACGGCCGGCCUUCCGCAUUGGUCGAGGUGCAAAUAUUAGACUGAGACUGACACGUAUGGGCUGUCGCAGCAGCUGCCGCGCUCAGCGUGCUGUUCGAGGCGUGUGGCGGCUUCACGCCCUUCAAUUUUGGUGACUCUGGAUAACUGUCAGUAUGAUUGCAUGGGCUAGUAUUGACUAGCCUUCAUGCGACAGGUCCCUCAUGAGUCUGCCCUAUCAACUGUCAAUGGCCCAGUAAGUGCCGACCGUGAUGACAAUGGGUAAUAGGGAAUCGGGAUUCAAUUCUGGAGAGGGAGCCUGCAAAACGGCUACCUAGACUCUCUUCUUGUAUUGAUAUAGUUAUAGCUUAGACUGCA
rnacentral:rRNA from 1 species